AGCUAGUCGGUAGGGUAAUAGCCUACCAAGGCAUAGACGGGUAGCUGGUCUGAGAGGACGAUCAGCCACACUGGGACUGAGACACGGCCCAGACACCUACGGGUGGCAGCAGUGGGGAAUUUUCGGCAAUGGGCGCAAGCCUGACCGAGCCAUGCCGCGUGCAGGACGACAGCCUUAGGGUUGUAAACUGCUGUGGAAAGCUACUAAAUAAAUGAAGAACUUUCUAGAAAGGGGUUGCUAACUCUGUGCCAGCAGCAGCGGUAAUACAGAGACCCCAAGCGUUAUCCGGUUUCAUUGGGCGUAAAGCGUUCCGAUCGGUGGUUUCGUGUGUCUAGGGUGAAAGACCGCAGCUUAACUGCGUGUUUGCUCUGGAAACUGCGUUACUAGAGGUAUCAAGAGGUAACUGGAACUCUACAAGUAGGGGUGAAAUCCGUUGAUAUGUAGGGGAACACCAAAAGCGAAGGCAAGUUACUUGGGAUAUCCUGACACUGCUAGGACGAAAGCGUGGGGAGCGAUACGGAUUAGAUACCCGUGUAGUCCACGCCCUAAACGAUGAGUGUUUGCUUUUGGAGAGAAUCAAUCCUCUUCAGAGGCAAAAGCUAACGCUAUAAACACUCCGCCUGUAUAGUACGGCCGCAAGGCUAAAACACAAAGAAAUUGACGGGAGCCCGCACAAGCAGUGGAUCAUGUGGCUUAAUUCGAUAGUAAGCGAGGAACCUCACCUAGGCUUGACAUGUACUUGCAAAUUCUAUGAAAGUAGAACUCCUUCGAGGGUAGUACACAGGUGAUGUACGGUCGUCGUCAGCUCGUGUCGUGAGAUGUUCGGUUAAGUCCGGUAACGAGCGCAACCCUAAUCCUUAGUUAUUUAAUGUCUAAGGAGACUGCCCGAGUUUAAUCGGGAGGAAGGAUAGGAUGACGUCAGAUCAGCGUGUCCCUUAUGUCUAGGGCGGCACACAUGAUACAAUGGGUAGAGUACAGAGAGACAGCCAGCACGCAAGUGUGAGCAAAUCCUUAAAACUCCCCUUAGUUCGGAUUGAAGGCUGAAACUCGCCUUCAUGAAGCUGGAAUUGCUAGUAAUCGUGAAUCAGCCUCUUCACGGUGAAUACGUUCUCGGGCUUUGUACACACUGCCCGUCAAGGUCUGGGAGUUGGGGGAGCCCCAAAACUCAAGUUUUUUGGGUCAAAGGCUAAACCAGCGACUGGAUUUAAGUCGUAACAAGGCAUCCGUAGCGGAAGCUGUGGAUG
rnacentral:rRNA from 1 species